AUACAAAAAUUAUCAAAACAUAACACUUUAUAUUUUGUUUGGGUCGUUCACAAAAACUUUGGUCGGUUUGGGGUGAGCGACUUCUUUUUAUUUGUUU
rnacentral:antisense_RNA from 1 species